rnacentral:rRNA from 1 species
UACGAAGGGUGCAAGCGUUACUCGGAAUUACUGGGCGUAAAGCGUGCGUAGGUGGUUUGUUAAGUCUGUUGUGAAGGCCCCGGGCUCAACCUGGGAAUGGCAAUGGAUACUGGCAAGCUAGAGUGCGGUAGAGGGUAGUGGAAUUCCCGGUGUAGCGGUGAAAUGCGUAGAGAUCGGGAGGAACACCAGUGGCGAAGGCGGCUACCUGGACCAGCACUGACACUGAGGCACGAAAGCGUGGGGAGCAAACAGG